AGGGUUCGGCCCUCGGCAGACGGCUCAGUAACACGUGGAUAAUCUGUCCUUAGGUGGAGGAUAAUCUCGGGAAACUGAGAAUAAUACUCCAUAGAUUUAGAAUGUUGGAAUGCAUCUAAGUUGAAAGCUUCGGCGCCUAACGGUGAGUCUGCGGACUAUCAGGCUGUAGUCAGGGUAAUGACCUGACUAACCUACGACGGAUACGGGUUGUGAGAGCAAUAACCCGGAGACGAUAUCUGAGACACGAUAUCGGGCCCUACGGGGCGCAGCAGGCGCGAAACCUUCACACUGUGCGAAAGCGCGAUGAGGGAAUCCCAAGUGCUUGCUCGUAAGAGUAAGCUGUUUUUGUGUA
rnacentral:rRNA from 1 species